rnacentral:lncRNA from 1 species
UAGCUAGGAUAUCCCUUACUGGUGUUAAGGCACCAUUUUUGAUAUAGGGAACUAGUCAUGCCUAGAUUUUUUUCUUUUUGACUGAUUUUCUAUUUGGAUCUUAGCUGAAUAGGACAACUUAUAUUUCAAGCCUAUAGUCAUAGCUAGGAUUUUAUCUUGAAUGACAUUAGCCCUCUAUUUAGUAUAAAUGAUGGAUAGAAAAUGAAGGAUCAAUGAGGGAGAGGAUGGAUGGAUCUUCCAUCUAUUCUCAUAUGUAUUUGUUAAAUGUGGAAGAAUAGAUGAGAAUGAUUCACUUCUUUUU